CGGGAGUUCUGCUCCCUGGAUGGGAACGUGCGUGGGAUCAGGAGUGCGGCCGCCCCCUCUCUUUCCCCCUCCGGGAUGGCAUUAUGGAUGGAAUCGGGAUUAGGGCUAGAGCAGGACCCCUCACCCCCUGCCCCGGGGAUGGGAGUAUGGAUGGGAUUGGGGCUGGGACCGAGACCGGACACCCACUGCUGUCCCCUUUGUCCCCCGGGAAUGGCACCGAAAUAAAGGCUGGAUACCCGCCCCGCCUUCCUCAUCCUCCAGAAGUGGGAGCGUGGAUGGCAUCGGAAUUGGGACUGACAUUGGAGACAGAUGAUUGCUCCCCAGAUCCUCCCCCGGGGAUGGGACCGGGAAUGGGGUUGGAGUUAGGACGAGGAAAGGACCCCUCCCACCUCUCUGCCCCGAGAAUGGGACCGUGGGUAAGAUUGGAGCUGGGACUGAGACCGGACUCACUUCCACAGGUGCUAGCACUGGGGCUGAUGCCAGGACUGGGAUCCUGGCACUUUUCAUGGUUGCUGGAACCAGGAGGACAAGGCAGAAGGAUGCUCUUAUUCAGGACCAUCUACAACUUUCAAGGGGCAGCAAAAGCUAAUGCAGCUGGAGAAGGAAAUCUCUGUUCGUGCUGCCUUUGGGUGUGCUGGAGAUGAGGUCAGCUGGGGCUGGAGAGACAUGGGAGCACCUUCCCAGCAGCCAACUGAGCUCCAGAAUAGGGUGGGUUGGUUGGAGGUGGGAGCUGGGGCUGGAAAACAGAGUCGUGGGAUUAGUAGGGUUGAAAAAGCCCUCUGAAAUCAUGGAGUCCAAGUGUUAACCCAGCACUGCUGUGUCUGCCACUGAGCCAUGUCCCCAGGCCCCACAUCCACACACUUCUUGAACAGUUCCAGGGACUCCACCACUUCCCUGGGCAGCCUGUUCCAAUGCCUGACCACCCUUUCAGUCAUGAAACCUUUCUGAAUAUCCAAUCUAAACCUUAAGUAGAGGCCAUUUCCUCUUGCCUGUACCAGUCCCUG
rnacentral:lncRNA from 1 species